AUUAGCUAGUUGGUGAGGUAACGGCUCACCAAGGCUCCGAUCGGUAUCCGGCCUGAGAGGGCGAACGGACACACUGAGACUGAGACACGGCCCAGACUCCUACGGGAGGCAGCAGUGGGGAAUUGUUCGCAAUGGGCGCAAGCCUGACGACGCAACGCCGCGUGGAGGAUGAAGACUUUCGGGUCGUAAACGGCUAACUCCGUGCCAGCAGCCGCGGUAAUACGGGGGGGGCAAGCGUUGUUCAGAAUUACUGGGCGUAAAGGGCUCGUAGGCGGCCAACUAAGUCAGACGUGAAAUCCCUCAGCUUAACUGGGGAACUGCGUCUGAUACUGGAUGGCUUGGACUCGGGAGAGGGAUGCGGAAUUCCAGGUGUAGCGGUGAAAUGCGUAGAUAUCUGGAGGAACACCGGUGGCGAAGGCGGCAUCCUGGACCGAGAUUGACGCUGAGGAGCGAAAGCUAGGGGAGCAAA
rnacentral:rRNA from 1 species